UACGGAGGAUGCAAGCGUUAUCCGGAAUGAUUGGGCGUAAAGCGUCCGCAGGUGGCUGUGUAAGUCUGCUGUUAAAGAGUCUAGCUCAACUAGAUACAAGCAGUGGAAACUACACGGCUAGAGUACGUUCGGGGCAGAGGGAAUUCCUGGUGUAGCGGUGAAAUGCGCAGAUAUCAGGAAGAACACCCGUGGCGAAAGCGGCUCUCUGGGACGGUACUGACGCUGAGACGCGAAAGCGUGGGGAGCGAACAGG
rnacentral:rRNA from 1 species